UUAUUGCUUUAGUGAGUCACUGGAGUAAGGUUAAUAAAUAAUGAUAUGAGUUGUUCAAUGAAAGCAGUCAGCAGUGAUUGAUUGAACCACCCUCUCGCACAGGACAUUUUGCUGCUUACUCUAUACUUGAUGAACCGCUUGUUAUUUACUUUGACUUACUGGAAUACUGCGGAUUAUCUAGCUGGAUACUGCUGAUUAUCU
rnacentral:lncRNA from 1 species